GACGAACCGAGCGAACGUUGUUCGGAAUCACUGGACUUAAAGGGCGCGUAGGCGGGUUCUCAAGUCCGGGGUGAAAUCCCACAGCUCAACUGUGGAACUGCCUCGGAUACUGGGAGUCUCGAGGGUGGCAGGGGUAUGCGGAACUAUCGGUGGAGCGGUGAAAUGCGUUGAUAUCGAUAGGAACUCCGGUGGCGAAGGCGGCAUACUGGUCCACUUCUGACGCUGAGGCGCGAAAGCCAGGGGAGCAAACGGG
rnacentral:rRNA from 1 species